UUCUCUAAUGUUUCAAAAAGAAAAACAGUUCAUUGUUGGAACAUUAGCUGUAUAUGUACCUUUGAUAAAAACGUUUUAUAAUAUUGCCUUAUAACCAGGAAAGAAGAUUCUCAGGACAAAAUGAUGGUAUUGUUUUACUGUGGUCUCUGAUCCUAUCAAGGACAGGGGGGAGUGAUGUCAUUUACUGCAUGGAGAUGUGUGAUUACGGUCAAACGCAGAAGACCUGAAUCCCAGAAAUAUAAAAUCCAUGUUGGCUGUAUAUUUUCUAAUCAAUAUCAAAUAUUACAAAUGCAGAGUUAGCAAAGAAAAAUGGUCAUUUUGUUUUGUUGUUCCUGUUUGUUCUUAAGCUUGGCGCCAUUAUUCCUUUUAUGUUUUGGGUGAUGUGAUCAAAGGGUUUUAGGUUGCACAGGAUUCAUUGAUUGGGGUUUGGACAAAACCUGAUCUCCUCCUCUUUAUGUGUAUAAUUUUUCAAAAUUUGGUAAAUCUCUGCAAUGUCUAGUCAGUUUGCAUUAGGAGACAACACACUGGGCCGUUGGGGAUCUGCAACAGUUCCAGGCUUGUCACAGUGGCAGUUGCAGAGAGGCCAGGGGAAUCAGAACCAGAGGAGAAGAAUAUGUAGUGAGCCAAGGUUUUCCACAGGAUACACAAUGCUGCCAGGCUGCUUGGUGAAGACAGGACUCUGCGGGACACUGCUCUCUGUGAGGGGACAAAGACAGCGCAGCUUGCUGAGAGUGGAGCCACACAAAGGCCUAUCUGAAACAGCCAGUAAGGAAGUGGCAGAUAAUGGUUGAUGCUUUUGUUGAACUGUCUUAAAAGCGAAGCCACAAGCAGAUAGAACAAAUGGCUUUAACUAGCAUGUCAUGACACCACGGCUGUGAGGAUCAUAAUUGGGAGAUGGACAUGCCGUCAUAAGCUGUAAAGUCAGUAACAGGAUAUAGAAUCUUACACUACACAGCUAUCUAAACACACAGCUUUAUUUGAGCCUGUCAAUCGGCUGUUGUUUGUUCUCCCUUUUAAUUAUUUGCUGAGCUGCAGCAGGCUUAAGGUGGUUAGAAGCGUUAUCUCCUAACUUCAUAUGCCAGAACAAAUUGCCCUAAAGCAGCAGUCACCGACCUUUUUUUGUACCAAGAACUGGUAGGCUGGAAUUAGCUGUUACUACAAACUGGUAAUACCCUGCCAUCAUUGAAGGAUCC